rnacentral:rRNA from 1 species
UACGGAGGGUGCAAGCGUUGCUCGGAAUUAUUGGGCGUAAAGGGUAGGUAGGUGGUCUCAUUUGUCUGAGGUGAAAGCCCAGGGCUUAACCUUGGAAGUGCCUCAGAAACGGUGAGACUGGAGUACUGGAGAGGGUCGUGGAAUUCCCGGUGUAGCGGUGAAAUGCGUAGAGAUCGGGAGGAACACCAGAGGCGAAGGCGGCGACCUGGACAGUGACUGACACUCAACUACGAAAGCGUGGGGAGCGAACAGG